rnacentral:misc_RNA from 1 species
GUUGAAGAACGCAGCGAAAUGCGAUAAGUAAUGUGAAUUGCAGAAUUCAGUGAAUCAUCGAAUCUUUGAACGCACAUUGCGCCCGCCAGCAUUCUGGCGGGCAUGCCUGUUCGAGCGUCAUUUCAACCCUCGAGCCCCCCCGGGGGCCUCGGUGUUGGGGGACGGCACACCAGCCGCCCCCGAAAUGCAGUGGCGACCCCGCCGCAGCCUCCCCUGCGUAGUAGCACACACCUCGCACCGGAGCGCGGAGGCGGUCACGCCGUAAAACGCCCAACUUUCUUAGAGUUGACCUCGGAUCAGGUAGGAAUACCCGCUGAACUUAAGCAUAUCAAUAAGCGGAGGA